rnacentral:rRNA from 1 species
UACAGAGGUCCCAAGCGUUGUUCGGAUUCACUGGGCGUAAAGGGUGCGUAGGCGGUCGGGUAAGUCUGAUGUGAAAUCUCCAAGCCUAACUUGGAAACUGCAUUGGAUACUAUCCGGCUAGAGGAAUGGAGGGGAGACUGGAAUACUUGGUGUAGCAGUGGAAAUGCGUAGAUAUCAAGUGGAACACCAGUGGCGAAGGCGAGUCUCUGGACAUUUCCUGACGCUGAGGCACGAAAGCCAGGGGAGCAAACGGG